rnacentral:lncRNA from 1 species
UUGAACUUCUUGUUAGAUUUCAAGUCUGUAUUUUGUGUCCGUGACAAUUUGUCGAGACUACACUAACUUGAGAUAUCAGAGCUAGUUCUUUCUUAGUAGAGUGUGGAUUACCCCUCUACUUGAAGGUAUACUAGUAUUUUUUAGAGGUUGCGGAUUACCCUCCUCUAAACUGAUACUUCUUCUGUUACAAUAUUGGAGUCUUAUUCUUCUUGGAGAGAGUGGAUUACCCCUCUUCUUGAAAUUCUUAAG